AUGCAUGUUGUGGAAUUGUUGUUCGAUGAAGAUGAAGCUCAGCGGAGUGCAAAAGGUGAUUUCCAUACGAAGAUGAAGAUGAUGAAUGAUCGAAGGUUAUUGGAAAAUUGGAAUAUCAUUGAAGCAAGUGGGAGUUUGGUCAUGAAGAACGAAAACUUAAUCAAGAGGAUAAAAGUCAGGGGCAUGAAGACUAUGGAAGAAUCAUGA